rnacentral:rRNA from 1 species
GACGAACGCUGGCGGCGUGCUUAACACAUGCAAGUCGAACGGAGCACCCUUGAAUGAGACUUCGGUCAAAGGAAGGGAAUGCUUAGUGGCGGACUGGUGAGUAACGCGUGAGGAUCCUGCCUUUCAGAGGGGGACAACAGUUGGAAACGACUGCUAAUACCGCAUGACGCAUUCGGAUGGCAUCAUCUGAAUGCCAAAGAUUUAACGCUGAAAGAUGGCCUCGCGUCUGAUUAGAUAGUUGGCGGGGCAACGGCCCACCAAGUCGACGAUCAGUAGCCGGACUGAGAGGGUGACCGGCCACAUUGGGACUGAGAUACGGCCCAGACUCCUACGGGAGGCAGCAGUGAGGAAUAUUGGGCAAUGGGCGCAAGCCUGACCCAGCAACGCCGCGUGAAGGAAGAAGGCUUUCGGGUUGUAAACUUCUUUUAAGAGGGAAGAGCAGAAGACGGUACCUCUUGAAUAAGCCACGGCUAACUACGUGCCAGCAGCCGCAGUAA